rnacentral:misc_RNA from 1 species
AUGAUUUUUAAAGCGAGUCGAGCGUUUAAGCGAGGCUUGCGAAAAAUAUUUAAAACCCCACUCUUUUUAACUUUUAAAAAAAUAAAUCAUGAUACAUGAAUUUAAAAAAAAGAUC